CACAACGACGAAUGCCAGAUAUUUUCCGUUGGCGAAUAAUUUCCAGCUAUUUCCUUUUAUUUUACCCCCGGAGAGUUUCCCAUAGUGUCUCCCCCAUGGAUAAAAUUUUUACAGGCUCCUGCAAUCAUUGCGGAUUUUCCAGGAUCAUCAAAUAAAAUCUCAAAUCCUGAUCGAUGAGAUCUGUACAUUAAACUCCCAGAGAUUUCUUGCGUAGCUAAGAGAGAUCCCACGCUCUUUUUCCAACAUUUCGCUGUCACUAUCGUAACAUUUAAUGUAGAAUUCUACCCUGCGUCGAUUUUUAGUAAAAUUCCUGCAAAUCAAAAAAUAAAUAAAUAAACGAUAAUA